AUUUCCAAUGAAGGGAUUACUAUUAUUGCUGGUGCUCUUGCUCCACCAUUUCUCAGCACCUGACCAUUGAUGGUUCCUCUCCCCCUUGUGGUCAGAUCUGACUCUGCCGUCAGGUCCCUCCCACUUUCCCACCUCUCUCUCCCCAGUACCUGCAGGCACCUAAGGGACACAGAGCUCAGACCCUAACCUGCCCUCUGCCACCCACCCAGUCAGUCUCCUUCCAGCAGGUGCAGCCGGGAAGUCACCCUGGGCUUCUCUCCACAGGUGGGAAGCAGAACCAUGCUGUGUCCCCUCGCCUUCCUGUGUGCCCUCCUGUUUCCCGGCAGCUGGGCAGCGAUCAGCCUGGGGCAGCCCUCUAUGGUCGUGGCGCAGGCAGGCCGCUCAGCCACUCUGUGGUGCAAAGCCAGCACCAAGGUCAGCUACAUCCACUGGUACCACCACCAGGAAGGUGCGGCCCCCAAGAGGCUCCUCAGACUGGACAUGUCUGGAACGUUUGUGCAGAGAGAUGGGGGCCUGAAAGCGGACAAAGUCAAUGCCAAGAGGGGCAAGGAUAGCAACAGCUGUGACCUGUCCGUGCUGAAGCUGGAGAAGAGCGACGAGGGCAUGUACUACUGUGCUGCCUGGGAAGAGUGGGCUGGGUAUAGCUGGGCCCACAAAGUGUUCGGUCCUGGCACACUGCUCAGGGUCACAGCUAAAAGCCCUGAUGAAGACACUUCCCCCAAGCCCACGAUUUUUCUUCCUUCAAUUGCUGAAAUAAAACUCCACAAGGCUGGAACGUAUCUUUGUCUUCUUGAGGAUUUUUUCCCUGAUGUUAUCAACAUAGAUUGGAAAGAGAAAAAUGGCAGAGUAAUAUUGAAAUCCCAGCAGGGAGACACCAUGAAGACUAAGGACACAUACAUGAAAUACACCUGGCUGACCGUGAGAGAAGACUCAAUGGGUAAAGAACACAAAUGUGUCGUCAAACACCAGAAGAAUAAAGGAGGGGUUGAUCAAGAGAUUCUUUUUCCUUCAAUAAACACAGCAGAUUUGGUGACGGAAUCCAAAGUGGGCUUCCAGAAGGAAUCAGAGACAAGUAGAAACACAAGGCCGGUAACCGUGAGCCCUUCGAGUACACUGUCUACAUCACCAUUUUCAAGUGCCGCGGAUCUCACUGCUAUUCACUCUACAGAAGCUUCUCUGAAGGAUGAAAAUGACGCCCUGCAUCUGCAUCUCGUGAACAACUCUGCCUACUAUACCUACCUCCUGCUCCUCCUCAAGAGCAUGGUCUCUUCUGCCAUUAUCACUGUCAAUCUGCUUGGGAAACCCACACUCUUUGGUAAUGGGAAGAGUUCCUAACACAUGGUGGCACAAAAGGUCCACCUUUUUCCAUUGGCUGUUAUCCCUAAAAGUCAGUAGGCACCUUCCAGUCAUGUCCCCUGGGGCUCUUUAACAAGAUGACUUCCUUGAAGCCUUUUAAUUUACACACCCUGAGGCCUCUAUCUUUGUUAAUGAAUUCUGUACUGUUUUUCCUAAAAAGAACAAGUAAAAUAAUCAAGACUCUA